UACGUAGGGGGCAAGCGUUGUCCGGAUUUAUUGGGCGUAAAGAGCGUGUAGGCGGCCAGACAGGUCCACUGUGAAAAUUCGAGGCUCAACCUCGAGAGGUCGGUGGAAACCGUCUGGCUAGAGUCCGGAAGAGGAGAGUGGAAUUCCCGGUGUAGCGGUGAAAUGCGCAGAUAUCGGGAAGAACACCCGUGGCGAAGGCGGCUCUCUGGGACGGUACUGACGCUGAGACGCGAAAGCGUGGGGAGCGAACAGG
rnacentral:rRNA from 1 species